GGGCAAGUAGCUCAGUUGGAUAGAGCGUUGGCCUCCGGAGCCAAAGGUCGUGGGUUCGAAUCCCGUCUUGCUCA
rnacentral:tRNA from 1 species